rnacentral:misc_RNA from 1 species
GUUUGAAUAAAAUAAAGUCGUUAAGUAAUUAUACCCCAUGAUAGCUACAACAAAUGUUGAUGAAGUUCUAAGCUAAAUAUACCAAAAGGAGACUUCACAGCUCAUUCUUCAUUCACGGCAUAUUUGAAGCUUUCUUCGGCUUUGGCCUGACCAACGGAAACUGCAAGCGGUAUCUUAAAUCUUUCACAACUUUUGCUUGAAAAAUGUCAUCCUUAUCAUCACGUGUUUUAA